rnacentral:rRNA from 1 species
GACCAGACUCCUACGGGAGGCAGCAGUGGGGGAUAUUGCACAAUGGGGGAAACCCUGAUGCAGCGACGCCGCGUGUGGGAAGACGGUCCUCUGGAUUGUAAACCACUGUCCCCAGGGACGAAGAUGACGGUACCUGACUAAGAAGCCCCGGCUAACUACGUGCCAGCAGCCGCGGUAAUACGUAGGGGGCAAGCGUUAUCCGGAUUUACUGGGUGUAAAGGGAGCGUAGACGGCCAGACAAGUCAGAAGUGAAAGCCCAGGGCUCAACCCUGGGACUGCUUUUGAAACUGCCGGGCUGGAGUGCAGGAGAGGUAAGCGGAAUUCCUAGUGUAGCGGUGAAAUGCGUAGAUAUUAGGAGGAACACCAGUGGCGAAGGCGGCUUACUGGACUGUAACUGACGUUGAGGCUCGAAAGCGUGGGGAGCAAACAGGAUUAGAUACCCUAGUACA